rnacentral:rRNA from 1 species
GACGAACGCUGGCGGCGUGCCUAACACAUGCAAGUCGAACGGAAAGGCCCUGCUUGCAGGGUGCUUGAGUGGCGAACGGGUGAGUAACACGUGGGUGAUCUGCUCCUUACGUUGGGAUAAGCCUGGGAAACUGGGCCUAAUACUGGAAAGGACCAUGCGGUAGGGGGGGUGGUGGAAAGAUUAGACUCGGUAAGGGAUGAGCUCGGGGCCUAUCAGCUUGUUGGAGGGGUAAUGGCCUACACAGGCGUCGACGGGUAGCCGGCCUGAGAGGGUGGGCGGCCACAUUGAGACUGCGAUACGGGCCAGACUCCUACGGGAGGCAGCAGUGGGGGAAAUUGCAAUAUGGGCACAAGCCUGAUGCGACGACGCCGCGUGGAGGGUAACGGCCUUCGGGUUGUGAGCUCCGUUCGGCCGUGACGAAGCCCUUGUGGUGACGUUAGUAGUAGAAGAAGCACCGGCUAACUACGUG